GAUGAACGCUAGCGGCAGGCUUAACACAUGCAAGUCGGGCGGCAGCGGGGUGGGAGCUUGCUCCCACUGCCGGCGAGCGGCGCACGGGUGAGUAACACGUAUGCAACCUGCCCCUGUCAGGGGGACAACCCGCCGAAAGGCGGGCUAAGCCCGCGUAUAUCUCCCCGGGGCAUCCCGGGGGGAGGAAAGGAGCGAUCCGGACAGGGAUGGGCAUGCGGCGCAUUAGCUGGUCGGCGGGGUAACGGCCCACCGAGGCGACGAUGCGUAGGGGUUCUGAGAGGAAGGCCCCCCACACUGGUACUGAGACACGGACCAAACUCCUACGGGAGGCAGCAGUGAAGAAUAUUGGUCAAUGGGCGCUAGCCUGAACCAGCCAAGUAGCGUGAAGGAUGAAGGCUCUAUGGGUCGUAAACUUCUUUUAUAUAAGAAUAAAGUGCAGUAUGUAUACUGUUUUGUAUGUAUUAUAUGAAUAAGGAUCGGCUAACUCCGUGCCAGCAGCCGCGGUAAUACGGAGGAUCCGAGCGUUAUCCGGAUUUAUUGGGUUUAAAGGGAGCGUAGGUGGACUGGUAAGUCAGUUGUGAAAGUUUGCGGCUCAACCGUAAAAUUGCAGUUGAUACUGUCAGUCUUGAGUACAGUAGAGGUGGGCGGAAUUCGUGGUGUAGCGGUGAAAUGCUUAGAUAUCACGAAGAACUCCGAUUGCGAAGGCAGCUCACUGGACUGCAACUGACACUGAUGCUCGAAAGUGUGGGUAUCAAACAGGAUUAGAUACCCUGGUAGUCCACACAGUAAACGAUGAAUACUCGCUGUUUGCGAUAUACAGUAAGCGGCCAAGCGAAAGCAUUAAGUAUUCCACCUGGGGAGUACGCCGGCAACGGUGGAACUCAAAGGAAUUGACGGGGGCCCGCACAAGCGGAGGAACAUGUGGUUUAAUUCGAUGAUACGCGAGGAACCUUACCCGGGCUUAAAUUGCAGUGGAAUGAUGUGGAAACAUGUCAGUGAGCAAUCACCGCUGUGAAGGUGCUGCAUGGUUGUCGUCAGCUCGUGCCGUGAGGUGUCGGCUUAAGUGCCAUAACGAGCGCAACCCUUAUCUUUAGUUACUAACAGGUUAUGCUGAGGACUCUAGAGAGACUGCCGUCGUAAGAUGUGAGGAAGGUGGGGAUGACGUCAAAUCAGCACGGCCCUUACGUCCGGGGCUACACACGUGUUACAAUGGGGGGUACAGAAGGCAGCUAGCGGGUGACCGUAUGCUAAUCCCAAAAGCCUCUCUCAGUUCGGAUCGAAGUCUGCAACCCGACUUCGUGAAGCUGGAUUCGCUAGUAAUCGCGCAUCAGCCACGGCGCGGUGAAUACGUUCCCGGGCCUUGUACACACCGCCCGUCAAGCCAUGGGAGCCGGGGGUACCUGAAGUACGUAACCGCAAGGAUCGUCCUAGGGUAAAACUGGUGACUGGGGCU
rnacentral:rRNA from 1 species